rnacentral:lncRNA from 1 species
CUUCGGGACGCGAACGCGGCAGGACGCGCGCCGGACGCGCAUUAAUUGAAACCAAAGUAUCACAAGCGAGGUAUCAAUCCACUUUCCUCGAUCGUGCUCGAACUUUCUGGGAAUUCCGUUCGAACGCGACUCUUGCGCGCCAUCCGCGAGCGCGUAAUACGUGAGUAUCGUCUACUGAUCCCGCUCCCCAGGAAGCCGUAUCCGCGCGUCGUCGACCCCGCCGGUGAAUCCGCGUCCUCGAAGAAUUCACGGUGCGCGCAACGCCGAGUACCGAGCGGUCCUAAUUCACGGUGCGUAAUUAACCGUUAAAGUCGCAACUGACUCGCGCGGUACGAGGGUGAAGCUGACGCGAAGGUGACGUCACUUCCCUCAAGUCGCCGUUGGCGAAACGCGAGCGCGAGCGCGGGCGGAUCGGCUUCGUCUCCGGGAGGAGAGCCCUCGUCAGGACGCCUACCGUUUUGUGAGUACCGUCGAUCCCGCGGCUCCGACGCUCGUCGGUCGCGCCGGUGCGAAUCGGUGAUCGCGUCAGACGCGUACGACGCGAGAUUCCAUGGAUUGAAACCCCGAAUAUCUGUGUGUCGCGAGCGGCGACGAGACGGCGACGAGACGGCGGCGCCCCCCCCCCCCCUCUGACCACUGGACACUGUACGUCGCGAAUGUUCGCGACAUUCCAGCGUACGCUUCGAUCCGCCUCCCGGAAGAUCUCUGGUCUUGAACUAAGUUCGCGUUUUCGGCUUGCAGUGGUCGCGAAAUUCGGAGGGGACGAGAGCCCAGGCGGGAGAGCAACAGGUGUAGCGCGAAGUUGGCCGCGCGUUAACUACGAAUCUCCGCCACCGUCAUUUCGAAUUUUUCCGUUGCAUUACUAAUAGUCGGUUCGCGCGCGAUCGAGAGCGAGCUCGCCGCGCGAUAUUCCCGCGAGGUUUAACGAGUUGGCCCCCAUCGACCGCGAUUAGCGGUCGUGCACGAUCGACGCGGGAGUCGUGCCGUGUGGAGUAUCGUUACACCAGCGCGUCGUCGAGCGAUAACGCAGGCUAACCCUGCAUUCGCGAAGUUGCGUGUGCGUGCGCGUGUGCUGUGUGGCUGUGCACUCCUGCCAGGAGUCGGGAGCAACGGUGCAGCGGAGCGAGAGGCGGAGGAGGAGCAAGAGGGGAGCCAGGGUGGCAUCAGGCGACGCGAGGAAUAACCGCCGGAAUCGGAAGCAACGGCGAAGCGAGAGAGGGGAAGCAUUGAAGUCCGGAAUAGCAUCAGGCAACGGCAAAAGUGAGUAAUUGAAUAUCUUAUACAUCAGCAAGGACGAUUUUUCAUCUUGCUUGUUUAUGAAAAGUAUUGCAAGGUACAGAUUUUGCGAAUCUAUAAGACUUAUUUUUAGCCAUCAAAAUUAUGAUGCAAAUGAGCAAAGAUAAACAAUGAUAAACAAAGAUUUUUUUAUCGAACAAAGCAAAUGUAGAGUGACUUGAAAGUCCUGUUUUAUACAAGUAACACGAAUAUACGGUAAUUAUUGUAGAAUGGAAAUACUUGAAAAAAAUGGGUAAAAUGAAAGAUAUCUUAUGAUCAUUGUUGAAUGGUCACUAUUAAACUUGUAUGAAAAUGUUAAAUUUCUUAUAAUUCUUGUAUUCUAGUCUACUGCUAUGUAUCAAAUUGAUACACACACACACACACACACACAUUAAGGGACAUGUAUAAUUGAUAAAAACAUAUAGAAUUUUUCUCUUAAUGACAAUAUAUUUGUUUUCGAUUUUCGUGGAUUUAUUAAUAGAGCGCAUAUUAAUAUUAUUGAAGAUAACAGGCAAUAUAUUACAACCUAUUUAUAUAAUUAAGUCUAUAUAUACAAUGGGAGUAUGGGAUAUUCAAAAAAUGAUCAUAUCCGCGUAAAAAGAAAAGAUUCCCUUGUAUCUUCGAUGCAGAUUUUCUAUUACCAUCUUCUUCCGGAAAUCUUUGCGUGUUUUUAACAAAUUCUUCACGUAUAUAUUCCGUUCGUUCAUUAAGUACAUGAACAAUGUCAUAUAAUUAAUAAUGACAGUAAUAAUAAUAAUAUAAUAAUAAUAAUAAUAAUAAAACGUAAUAUCAAUAAUAAUGAAAUAAUAUAAUUUAUUUUUCUAUUAUGUUAUUAAUAAUACUUAACAUUAAAUCUCCUCCUAACGUGUUUCCUCCUUCUAACUUUUUACAAAAAGUUUCGCUUUUGGUUUUUUCCGAGUCCAUUAACUUCUACUUACAAAUCUAACAAACCGAGUUAACCUCGUUUAUAAGGUUUGAAAGGGUUUGGGACUAGACAGUAACGUUCCUCAUAACCCGAUCCUAGUUGAUUACGUUUUUGAUAUUCCGUGAGCUCUCCUCACCCUUUCGUUGAGCGUCACUCUUGUACACGAGUUAGCGCGUCGAGCGUUGCACUAACGAAUCGCUGACUAGUUUCUAAUCAUUACGACUACUCGACUGUGCUAAUUAAGGCACUGAAUCACUAAGAGUAGACGAAUGUACAUUUCCUUCUGAAUUUUACGAAAAAUUGAUUCAGAUCAAGUAAAAAAUUAUUGCUGACUGCUGUCAGAUAUGAAUAUUUAAAACGUAAACGCUCACGUUUAAAUCGGUGUUCUCAACAAAAAUUACUAAUCAUUGCAAAAAUUAAUUUUUUUCUUUAAUAGCGUUAAGAAGUGUUAGGCUCGUAUCAAUAAAAUUUGUAUCAAUAAAAUUGAUUUACUCCUUGAUCCGUUGCGAGUUUGCGUCGCUAUAAAA